GUGGGGAAUUUUGGACAAUGGGGGCAACCCUGAUCCAGCAAUGCCGCGUGCAGGAAGAAGGCCUUCGGGUUGUAAACUGCUUUUGUACGGAACGAAACGGUCCUGGUUAAUACCUGGGGCUAAUGACGGUACCGUAAGAAUAAGCACCGGCUAACUACGUGCCAGCAGCCGCGGUAAUACGUAGGGUGCGAGCGUUAAUCGGAAUUACUGGGCGUAAAGCGUGCGCAGGCGGUGCUGUAAGACAGGCGUGAAAUCCCCGGGCUCAACCUGGGAAUUGCGCUUGUGACUGCAGUGCUGGAGUGCGGCAGAGGGGGAUGGAAUUCCGCGUGUAGCAGUGAAAUGCGUAGAUAUGCGGAGGAACACCGAUGGCGAAGGCAAUCCCCUGGGCCUGCACUGACGCUCAUGCACGAAAGCGUGGGGAGCAAACAGGAUUAGAAACCCCGGUAGUCC
rnacentral:rRNA from 1 species